rnacentral:rRNA from 1 species
UACGAAGGGGGCUAGCGUUGCUCGGAAUCACUGGGCGUAAAGGGUGCGUAGGCGGGUCUUUAAGUCAGGGGUGAAAUCCUGGAGCUCAACUCCAGAACUGCCUUUGAUACUGAAGAUCUUGAGUUGGGAGAGGUGAGUGGGAACUGCGAAGUUGUAGAGGUGAAAUUCGUAGAUAUUCGCAAGAACACCAGUGGCGAAGGCGGCUCACUGGCCCGAUACUGACGCUGAGGACGGAAAGCGAUGGGGGAGCAAACAGGGA